rnacentral:rRNA from 1 species
UCUGGUCUGAUCUACUCCCCCCCUCCGGCUGUGUGGGGGGGGCGCGCCCCUCCCACGACUUAUCAGUGUAACCAAGGAACUGUAGAGUUUGAUCUUGCUCAGGACGAACGCUGUAGACGUUCAUCAUGCAUGCAAGUGGAGCGGGGUCAACAGUUUCCUUCGGGAAACCGUUACGUUAGCGGCGGACGGGUGUGUAAUGGAUAGGUAGCGUGCCCUUGAGACCGGGAUAACUCCCGGAACCGUGGGCUAAUAUAAGAUAGUGGAUUUCCUCGCAUGAGGGAAUCGGGAAAGGCGGAGCAAUCUGCCACUUAUGAAUGAUCUUUCGGCGCAUGAUGUAGUUGGGGCGGAUCCGGCUCACCAAGGGGUAGAUGCGUAGCAGGCCUGAGAGGGUGAUCGGCCACAGAGGGAUUGAGACACGCCCCAGGCUCGUGCGGGAGGCCACAGUAGUGAAUGUUCCACCAUGGGGGCAUAUCUCACAAAGCAACGAAGCGUGAGUGAUGAAGGUUUUGGGAUGGAAAACGUCUUUUGGCAGGGAAGCCUGUUAUGGCGAGUAAGAAUUGCAUAGGUCGCGGUCCCUGAGAAAAAAGCCGCGUAUAUCUGCGUCCCCACACCCGCGGUAAUGUGUAGGGGGCAAGUUAUCUCCGGAAUUAUUGGGUAAAAAGCUCGCGCAGGCGGUCAUGUAAGUCUGGUGUUUAAACCCGGGGCUCAACUCCGGGUCGCAUCGGAACGGGAGUGACUUGAGUGCAGAAGAGGAAAGUGGAAUUCCACGUGUAGCGGUGAAAUGCGUAGAGAUGUGGAGGACCCCCAUUGGCGAAGCAGAUUUUCUGGGCCGUAACUGCCGUGGAGGCGCGAAAGGUUGGGGAGCAACCAGGAUUAGAUACCCUGGUAGUCCACGCCGUAACCGAUGAAUGUUAGGUGUUAGGCGUUUCGAUGAUCUUGGUGCCGCAGCUAACGCAU